AUUCACCCAGCCACAUUUAACAGCUUCUGCUGCUGUGUGUCAGGCAUUCUGCUAGUUGCUGGCAUAGAGUGAUGGAGAAAGUAAACAUAGUGCCUGGUCUCAGGGGCUCCCAGACCAGCAGGGCAGGCUGACAGAUACACAUUUGCUCACACCUGACUACUACGCAGGGGCAACAUGCAGAGGCCCAUGAAGGAGGCGUUGGGCUGGAGCUGGGGCUCCGGGUGUGACUUGGCCCCUGCCUUUUGUCCGGACUGGAUGACUCAGGGCAGCCAGGCCGGAGAAGCAGAAGGAAGCAAGGAGACUGAUGGAGGAAAUGCUUCAGAGAAGAGGAAAUAUGCAGAAUGUCCCUUUUUCAUCCCACGUGGCUCAGGCCUAAUGACAAAAGCACGUCACCUACAGAUGUUCCUGAAUGGCACCGGGGCCCUUGGGCUUAGGAGAUUCAAGAUUCCAGCCAAGAGGCCCUAUCUGUAGGAGAAGGAGAGAAAGAGUGCAAGCGGGGAAUAGGGGCAGAGGAAGAGAGAAUCUUAAGCAGAUUCCAUGCUCAGCAUGGAGCCAGACUUGGGGCUUGAUCCCACAACCCUGGAAUCAUGAUCUGAGCCAAAAUCAAGAGUCAGGUGCUCAACCAACUGAGCCACCCAGGCGCCACACAAUCAUGACUUUUAAACCCUGGUUUUGUUUGAGGCAAAUGUAAGCUAUGAGCUUUUGUGCACAUGGGCACCAGAAGGGCAUUGUUAGUGUUUGAAAACUGGUGCCUGGGGCCCUUCACAAGUCAUUCUGUGGCUUUGGAAGGCUGUAAAACAAAAUGGGGCUCCCCGAACAUGAGUGACCUCAAAACAACUCCUGGGAACCUCUCCUUAAACCCCUAACCUUCCUUAACAGACUUCUCUGCAUCCAAGAAACUGUGAAUUUCCUGACAAGGAAAGAAGGCUCACUCUUGCCUUCUGAGAGUGGAUAUUUACUAGUAAGACAUGGGCCACCUCAUAUUUGGUACAAUUACCUGGGAACAUGUAAAGUUCCAUCCCAAGUCUGUUAUUUUAGAGAUGGCCUUUGAACACUGAAGAAUUCCACUGGCUUUGGAUCAUUUUAUGUUUCACCUCCCAGGGGAAACUGUCAAUAAUUUACAUUGCACAGCAUUGGGUUAUCUAAUAACUCUGAAUUUUCUGCUCUAAGAGAGGGGAAUAGGAAAGUGGCUCUUUGUUUUUUAAGGGGGGAAAAAAAACAUCACUGCUCUUCCUGGUUGAGGUGGUAGGGGUGCUAGAGGCUGGCCCUGGCCGGGCUCCAGAGGAGCCUUCCUGAGGAUUCUUAGGUAGAAAGGAGAUUGGAGAGAGGGGUGUUUGGGAGAGCUGGCCUGGGAUGUAGAGGUGCUGGAAUUCUCCCUCUCCUGAGGGAAUCAUUCCCUGUAAAGUGCCAGGUAGAGUGAAGAAGAGAGAAUCCACUGACGGCCGAGGGACUGAUCCUUCACCCCUUCCUAAUGGCAGUUCCUGAAGGGAUGGUGUUUGUUUGCCUUUAAAAAGGAACUGGAAAUGCUUUCAGCAUUUUGAGUGACUCAUACCAGUCUGGUAUAUUUGUAAAUAUCAUUCCUUGGACUGAUUUAAACAGGAAGCCUGGGAAGUCUGUUUCCCCAACACAUUGCACUAGUGGUUGGAUUCUGCUUCUGGGGAAAAGCAAAAGAUACACUGAUUUCCAAUUUCAUUCGAGGUGGAACCCCCAAGCCAUCCGUGUUGGCCAUGAAGGAGGCGCCCUGCUUAACUGCGGUGAAUUACAAAAGAGAAUUCUGUCCUACAGGUGGAAAACCACUGCCUCUGUGCAGCCCCCUUCUUUAAUUGUAACAUCCCUCUGCUCCCAUCCCAUAAUGCUUGGGCCAUUUUUAAACCUCAGGGUGCUCCUAGAUCCUUUCUUGCUGCCCAAGUGAAAUGUGAGAAAAUGUGUUCAAAGCCACAAUUAUAAACGCCCCAAAAGAAGGUGUGCGGCCUUAUGUUGCUUUCUUACCUUUCCUGUAAGGCUUGCCCUAUUGAUCUGCUUUGUGUAUACCAGACACGAGCUAUUCCUGU